rnacentral:pre_miRNA from 1 species
AUCACCUGGGGAUCUCAUUAAAAUGCAAAUUCUGGUUCAGAAGGUUUGGGGUGGGACAAGAUUCUGCUUUUCUAAUUUGUUCUCAGGUGAUGCUAG